GCUUCGAUGGUCAAGUGGUUAAGACGCCGAGUUGUGGCCUCGGAAACCCGGGUUCGAUUCCUGGUCGUGGCA